rnacentral:rRNA from 1 species
CACCGCGGUUAUACGAAAGGCCCAAGUUGAAAAACAUUCGGCGUAAAGGGUGGCUAAGGACCUAUUUCAAACUAGAGCUGAAUUUCCUCAAAGCUGUUAUACGCUCACGAAAACUAGAAAAUCAACCACGAAAGUGGCUCUAAUCCCCCCUGACACCACGAAAGCUAUGACA